GAUGAACGCUGGCGGCGUGCCUAACACAUGCAAGUCGAACGGAGAUUACGGACGGAAGUUUUCGGAUGGAAGCCUGUAAUUCUUAGUGGCGGACGGGUGAGUAACGCGUGGGCAACCUGCCCUAUACAGGGGGAUAGCAGCUGGAAACGGCUGGUAAGACCGCAUAAGUCGGUUAAAUCGCAUGAUUUGAUCGGGAAAUGAGCAAUCAGGUAUAGGAUGGGCCCGCGUCCGAUUAGCCAGUUGGCAGGGUAAAAGCCUACCAAAGCGACGAUCGGUAGCCGGACUGAGAGGUCGGACGGCCACAUUGGGACUGAGACACGGCCCAAACUCCUACGGGAGGCAGCAGUGGGGGAUAUUGCACAAUGGAGGAAACUCUGAUGCAGCGACGCCGCGUGAGUGAAGAAGUAUUUCGGUAUGUAAAGCUCUAUCAGCAGGGAA
rnacentral:rRNA from 1 species